GUCCGCGCCGUAAACGAUGGAUACUCGGCGUCCGGCAUUCGUGCUGGGUGCCCAAGGGAACCGAUAAGUAUCCCACCUGGGGAGUACGCCGGCAACGGUGAAACUCAAAGGAAUUGACGGGGUCCGCACAAGCGGUGGAGCAUGUGGUUUAAUUCGAUGAUACGCGAGGAACCUUACCUAGGCUAGAAUGUGAGCGACGCAGUCGGAGACGGCUGCUCCCAGCAAUGGGCGCGAAACAAGGUGCUGCAUGGCCGUCGU
rnacentral:rRNA from 1 species